rnacentral:rRNA from 1 species
GAUCAUGGCUCAGGACGAACGCUGGCGGCGUGCUUCAUACAUGCAAGUCGAACGAUAAGGUCUCUUCGGAGAUACAUAAGUGGCGGACGGGUGAGUAAAAUGUAGAGAAUCUGCCCUAGAUGGGGGACAACAGUUGGAAACGACUGCUAAUACCGCAUAUGAGCGUAGCUGAAAUGCUAUUCUUGAAAACUCCGGUGCUCUGGGAUGAGUCUGCAUCUGAUUAGCUAGUUGGGGGUGUAAUGGACCACCAAGGCGACGAUCAGUAGCUGGUUUGAGAGGAUGAUCAGCCACAAUGGGACUGAGACACGGCCCAUACUCCUACGGGAGGCAGCAGUAGGGAAUUUUGCGCAAUGGGGGAAACCCUGAACCGCAGCAACGCCGCGUGACCGAUGAAGCCCUUCGGGGUGUAAAGGUCUGUCAGUGGGGACGAAACUUGACGGUACCCACAGAGGAAGCAUCGGCUAACUCCGUGCCAGCCGCUGC